GUUCAUUAAAAUACAAGAAAACAGUUUCACAUACAGAUAAUAAAAAUAUAAACAUAAAUUUAUUUUUGAAGAAAUUUUUUUUUCAAGUCUAAAAACUAUAAUAAAAAAAAAAAAUGUAUUUCACAAAAGCUCUUUUACUACUUUUCGUUUGUUUGGUAACAAUGUUUGGCGCAACAUUUGCCUGCAAAAAAGUCGAUGAAUCAUGCAGCACAGACAGUGAAUGUUGCAGUGGAGGAUGCAGAAUAUAUUUUGGAUCAUCACAAAAAACAUGUUGGGAAAAAAUGAAAGGCUGAUUCCAGAAAUUUACAUGAAUUAUUUCCAAGAAAUUUGUUAAGUUUCAAUAAAUUUUUACUACAUUAUAACAAUUAUUAUAACAUGCAAAUAAAUAUUGAAACAUAAAAAUAA